AGUGUUUGGUGGCCAGUGGAUGUGGAUGAAAGAAAUCUGUAAUCUAUGACAGAACUCAAGUCAGCUGAUUUCCGUCAUUCCGUCUGAGUUUGUUUUGUUUAAUGCAAAAAGUUAGAGUAUUUCGAGAUUUUUGUUUAUUCCCCGAAAAAGAAAUUGUUUGCUUUCGAACACAUGAUCCCAUGCCCAGAAGAAACAAGAAAGACUCAAAUGGCUUUCAAGUCUGGAUGGCUUUAAACAAUAAAUGCCACACAAAAGUUGUAGGGACCAGGGAUUCAAGUUUUUGAGAACUAGAAGUCUGAAUCUAGGGGAUCCUCCAGGAAAUAUGUUUGCUGCUUUUCGAACUGUUAUUAUUACAUCAUAUAAAACUGCAAUAAUUUGAUAUUUGACCAUUUCUAAAUCUAACAAGAGUUAUGAAAAUGAUGAGAAUGGCAUAUUGUACCGCCAUUUGGACGUAUUGCAUCGAUAACCCCUAAGUUGAAAUUAUUUUUAAAGUCGCAUGUAACAUUUUUCUGGUUUACAUAUGAAGAACAUGUGGACUCGGUUGUUCAUGAUUAAUUGGAUUAUGGUAUGUAUUUCUCUAAUAAUUGUAAAAAAGUAUUACAAUAUUAUACAAUAUGAUAUGACCACAUAGAAAUAAAGCCUGAAUCCAUCAAAUUCAGUUAUUCAUGUAUAUCAAAGUUCAGUUUUUGUGUUUAGUUUGGCCCAUAUUAUUUAUCCAUUCAACCCUUUAAAAGAUCAGUUCCUUUAUAUAAUGUAUCCUGUACAAUAUUGUAAUUAUAGUUGUUAUUGUCAAAUAUUUCUAUUAUAUAUUCAUUUCGGUUAAAUUUCUGUAUAUUCUUUCUAUACAAAUGUAAUUUUCUAAUAUUUUCCUGAAUAUAUAUUUAUUUCAGUUGAUUUUCUAUUUUAUUACACUAUUUCAUGAUUCGUCUAAAAAUCUAUAAUUACCAAGUUCGAAAAAUACACUCCAUCGACUCUCUCUACUCCUAUCGUUCUUUUAAUCGAAUCUUUCCCACUAAACUCGAUAAAAAGAACAAUAGGAGUAGAGAGAGGCGACGGAGUGUAUUUUUCGAACUUGGUAAAUAUUAUUUCAAAAACGAGGCCGUUAUUUGAAUUUCCCGCGCAAAUUUUUUCGGAUUAGUUUCUCCAGUAGCCAAGGGGGGCGCCACAAAACGUGUCGCCCAUGAAUAACACUGAAUUGACUACUCUCCUCUUUCCCUUUCUCUAUGUAGAGA